CUGGCGGCGCCUCUGCUUGAGUUUUGCUCGCGCCUGCUGGUCUUGUUCCACUCGAUUGGCCCUGCAGGCUGUGCUCAGAGAUACCAGCCUGGAUCCCACGCCUGCCAAGGGUGAGCCAGGCGUGGAGCAGAGUUGGGUGUGUGAGCAAGUGAGCGCAGGGUCCGGCCACUGAGCACAGUGAGGCAUGCCAGGUGCUGCGGUGGGGCAGGCAGCUCCAGGCGCUGGCACAGGCACUGGCUCUGUGCAAAGCUGUGGCUGAACCAGAGGUACCGCAAGCGGCUUUUGCUGCCAGCACCGGCGUCUGGACAAGGGGAACAUGGUGGCGCCUGAAAGCUCAGAGAUGCCAGGAAUCACAGAGCCCCCAAAGAGGGUGUUAUAGCAGGUCACAGUCCUGGCUCCGGGAGCCCUGAGGUCUGGGCUCCCAGAAGGGCUGCAGCUCUUCUCUCCUUCUCGUUGCCCACAGCAUGGGAAUCUCUGCAUAUAGCUACAAAGUCACCCAGGGAAGGACAAGCUCAUGGAGGGCUCUUUCCUGCCCAUUCGCCUCAUUUAAGUGCAGCCAUCCUUCAGGCCCUUGGUUAAGCUUCCAAGGACCCUAUGGGUCAAGGUGAAGCCAUCAGUGUCUACAGCUUCAGCUAUUGCCCGUGUGCAGAUGGUGCUUAAUCUCUCUUGUGCCUUCCAGACCUGCAUUCCAGCCACCUACCAAACCCCUUUCUGUGGAUGCCAAGAAAAGUCUUCAGACCGUGGACAAUGUGCUCUUUGCCCCUAUUAUGGAGAAAGGUGUUCCCUAGGUGGACUAUCAUCUCCGAACACUCCUAAGAAAUGGAAGAUAGUCUCUUAAGAGGACAGCCCAGAGGUAGUUUGAGGAAACGUCUGACAGCAGGAAAAACAACUUCAGCAGAUGCCCCUUUGGCCAAAGCAUGCUGUUAAAACUGACUCUACUGACACCUGGUGGAGAGUAGGGUAACUUCUCCCUGCUAAAGAGGGUGUGUGUGUAUGUGUGUGUGUGUGUGGGGGGGGGGGGGGUGUGUGGGGUGUGUGUGUGAUGAACGGAUUGGAAACACAUUCAUCAUGUCAGGGAAAUUAAUUCCUAAGGAAUGAGGGUACCAUGCAGAACCACCAGAUGCCAGAAUAUAUAAUUGUGGUUAGGUGACUCACUGAGACACAUGCAUGAAAAACAACAAACAAGAAUGUGAAAAUAAAACAUUAAGACUGCAGCAAAUGAUUUAUUAUUGAUUUUUAAAAAGAGUUUGAUAAUGAGUAAGACAAUAACAAACAAUCCACUCCCUUCUGCAACCCUGGAUGGUGUCAUAAGAAAAGACUCUAGUACUUGACCCCUUGAUAGUAUCAUCUGAAAUUUAAAAGAAAAUUCAAUCUUGUCCCAGGGAGACAGUGUCUCUCAGUCUGAGCCAGUGCUCUGCUGCCUCUGGAAUCUGCAGUGAGCUCCUUCAGAUUUUUAACCCUGGGAUAAAAAGAAUAAUCUUCCUAAAUGGAGUGUUAUGAAGACUGCUGUGCUCCUGAAAUUCCCUUGAAGAUGAAAAUAAAAUUAUCCUAAUAAAUAUA
rnacentral:lncRNA from 10 species